rnacentral:rRNA from 1 species
AGAAUCAACGCUGGCGGCGUGCCUAACACAUGCAAGUCGAACGAGAAAGGGGAGCAAUCCCUGAGUAAAGUGGCGACCGGGUGAGUAACACGUGACUAACCUACCUUCGAGUGGGGGAUAACCUCGGGAAACCGAGGCUAAUACCGCAUAACAUCGUGAGAUCAAAGCAGUAAUGCGCUGGAAGAGGGGGUCGCGGCUGAUUAGCUAGUUGGCGGGGUAAUGGCCCACCAAGGCGAAGAUCGGUAGCCGGCCUGAGAGGGCGCACGGCCACACUGGAACUGAAACACGGUCCAGACUCCUACGGGAGGCAGCAGUGGGGAAUUUUGCGCAAUGGGGGAAACCCUGACGCAGCAACGCCGCGUGGAGGAUGAAGUCCCUUGGGACGUAAACUCCUUUCGACCAAGACGAUAAUGACGGUACUGGUGGAAGAAGCACCGGCUAACUCUGUGCCAGCAGCCGC